UGCCAGCCGCCGCGGUAAUACGGAGGGUCCGAGCGUUAUCCGGAAUCAUUGGGUUUAAAGGGUCCGUAGGCGGUUAGAUAAGUCAGUGGUGAAAGUUUUCGGCUCAACCGGAAAAAUGCCAUUGAUACUGGAUUUCUUGAAUUAGUGUGAAGUGAUUAGAAUGUGUAGUGUAGCGGUGAAAUGCAUAGAUAUUACUUAGAAUACCGAUUGCGAAGGCAGUCUACUACGUAUAUACUGACGCUGAGGGACGAAAGCGUGGGGAGCGAACAGGAUUAGAUA
rnacentral:rRNA from 1 species